rnacentral:rRNA from 1 species
UACAGAGGUCUCGAGCGUUGUUCGGAUUCAUUGGGCGUAAAGGGCGCGUAGGCGGCGGGGUAAGUCUGGUGUGAAAUCUCGGAGCUCAACUCCGAAAUUGCACUGGAUACUGCUCUGCUAGAGGGCUGGAGAGGAGAUCGGAAUUCACGGUGUAGCAGUGAAAUGCGUAGAUAUCGGGAGGAACACCAGUGGCGAAGGCGACUACCUGGCCUGUUCUUGACGCUGAGGCGCGAAAGCUAGGGGAGCAAACGGG